CUGAGAAAAACCAACAAAUUCAUUUGGAUUGAACCACAAGCACUUUCUUCAUUAUAAGGCUUUGAGGAGCUGCCAGUAAACCACAGCAAAAGUCCUUCCCGCGGGCUGGGCUGCACAUACCUGGCCCUGGCAUGCUGGGAGGGCAGAGAUCUUGAGGCUCCCUGAGAUCUGUGCCCAUCUGAGGCGCUCAGGUGGUCCUCACAGUUACUUGCACAAAGCCUACUGAGCUGCCAAAGCCCCUACGGGGUUUGGUCCGGGAUUCCCUUGGAGCAGAGCUCCGUGUUUUAUAGGACCGCAGCCUAUUAGCUCAUUUAUAAGGCAAUGUUAAGCUGUUUGCAGGCAGCUGGAGCAACGGGAAGACCAGAUGGCUUUGGGACUGAGGGUCAGUUGCCUUUGCCAUGUGGGAUGUAGGUGCCAGCUCAGACCUCUCUGCUCCCAAGAAUGGGUUUGCCCGAGCAGAAAAGGAGCUGAAGCGUGGAGGUGACGGCAAGCUGGCUUCCCCUGCAGGAACAAGAGAGCAGAAGCGGAGCGCGUGCGGAUAAUUAGAGGGCAGAACAUAACGGGUUUGUGGCCAUGGUGGUGAGAAUAGCAGGAGGAAGAGAAGCAAAGCAAGAGGAGCACUCAGGGUUUUCAAGACGCAGAGUUAAGUGAAGCCUCCUGACUGCCUGCAUUAGGAGAAGCGGGGAGUCUUCCUGUGGGAGCUGGCAGUGCUGGGCAUUGGUCCCUGGGCUGGAGUGGAAGUGGGUUUUGAAGUCCUCACUACUGAUGAGGGAAGAAGUAAUGGUGGAAAACAGCAAGGAUCACCCAACGGCAUGGAAAGCCAAGCACCUCCCACCUCCAGACUUCAUCAAAUGCAGCACGUGGACCUUGAGUUUGCAUUCAGGCCUCUACGUCAGCCUGGAGACACGCAGAGCCAUGGGUCUCAGCUGCCUGGAUGAGGAUCUAAAGCAGCAUGGCCACGUUUAUGGGACCACCAGAGCGCAUUACAAGGGCAGAGCUUUGCACCAUCGUGAUGCAAGGAAGAGAUGAGCCCUUUGUGUGAACAGGGAUGCUGCAGACACGAGCAGACCCUGUGCUGCUCUCCAACUCCCUUGCACUACCACACACCAAUAUAAACGUGUUUUUUUUCCCUAAUUCCUUCCUUGCACUCUCUUAUUAUAGGACAGAAGGCUAUCUUCACUGUGAUUAAUUAAAAUGCCCACAUUUGCAGGGUUAAUGGCAUAAAAAGGUUUAGAUUCUGCUGUUCUGAAAACAAAUCUCCAUCUCCACGGCCCCCUGAAGCUCCUCAGCUCAACCAGCACUUCAGUCCCCCUCAAUAAUUCAUGUCCUUUCCCAGGGACAUUAUUUUUCUUCUUCCCACAAAGGCAGCCUAUGUAUACACCUGCUUGUUCUUGAUUGUUAAUGAAUAAUGCUGAAUUA
ensembl:lncRNA